UAGAGACACCAACGACUGAACCCUAUUCUCUCGUCUCUCUGUCUGUACUCACCGUCUCACUAUCCAAAUCUCUACGUCCCUAGGUUCUCUCUAUUACAAUCGGUAAUUAUAGAGUUCAUGAUUUUCUACUACUAAUCUGGAAAAUGUACUACCGUAAAGCUAAUCUAUAGUAAUCUAUAGGGAUCAGACGAAGAACGGGGAUCCAUGAUUAGUAUGCUGAUAUUUGAACUUGGAGCCAACAAUUUCACCAGGCGUGACUGUUAGUGCCUCAUCUUCCUCAACAUUCAACUGUCUUCCGCCUCCUGAACCGGUACCGCCAUGAAAAAUACACGAAUGGUUCUCCUGCAACUUUGAGCCAUUUUUUCCGAUGAUAAACUCGGAGUGCUGGUUAUCUUGCAAAUUGUGAGGUCUUAUUUAUAGUGUUUGAGUAGGAUUAUAAAUCAUCUCAGAUUUAAUUUGAAAACAUUCGGAUAUCCAUAUCUCGAAAACCAAAGAGACUAUCCACAAAUGCAGGCGUGCAGCCA